rnacentral:tRNA from 1 species
GGCAGUGUGAUGCAGUGGUAGAGCAUGUGUCUGGCAUGUGUGAGGCCUGGGUUCAAUCCCCAGCAUGACCA